CGGCAGGCCUAACACAUGCAAGCGAGCGGUAACAUUUCUAGCUUGCUAGAAGAUGACGAGCGGCGGACGGUGAGUAACGCGUAGAAAUCUACCUAGUAGUGGGGAUAGCCCAGAGAAAUUUGGAUUAAUACCGCAUACGCCCUACCGGGGGAAANCCGGGGGAUCUUCGGACCUCGUGCUAUUAGAUGAGUCUGCGUCGGAUUAGCUUGUUGGUGAGGUAAUGGCUCACCAAGGCGACGAUCCGUAGCUGGUCUGAGAGGAUGACCAGCCACACUGGAACUGAGACACGGUCCAGACUCCUACGGGAGGCAGCAGUGGGGAAUAUUGCACAAUGGGCGCAAGCCUGAUGCAGCCAUGCCGCGUGUGUGAAGAAGGCCUUAGGGUUGUAAAGCACUUUCAGCAGUGAGGAAAGGGGUGUCGUUAAUAGCGCCAUCCUGUGACGUUAACUGCAGAAGAAGGACCGGCUAACUCCGUG
rnacentral:rRNA from 1 species